rnacentral:rRNA from 1 species
GGAAUUUUGGACAAUGGGGGCAACCCUGAUCCAGCCAUGCCGCGUGCGGGAAGAAGGCCUUUGGGUUGUAAACCGCUUUUGUCGGGGAAGAAAUCCCUUGAGUUAAUACCCCGGGGGGAUGACGGUACCCGAAGAAUAAGCACCGGCUAACUACGUUCCAGCAGCCGCGGUAAAACGUAGGGUGCAAGCGUUAAUCGGAAUUACUGGGCGUAAGGCGUGCGCAGGCGGUCGUGCAAGACAGAUGUGAAAUCCCCGGGCUCAACCUGGGAACUGCAUUUGUGACUGCACGGCUGGAGUGCGGCAGAGGGGGAUGGAAUUCCGCGUGUAGCAGUGAAAUGCGUAGAUAUGCGGAGGAACACCGAUGGCGAAGGCAAUCCCCUGGGCCUGCACUGACGCUCAUGCACGAAAGCGUGGGGAGCAAA